UACGAAGGGGGCUAGCGUUGCUCGGAAUCACUGGGCGUAAAGGGUGCGUAGGUGGGUCUUUAAGUCAGGGGUGAAAUCCUGGAGCUCAACUCCAGAACUGCCUUUGAUACUGAGAAGCUCGAGUCCGGGAGAGGUGAGUGGAACUGCGAGUGUAGAGGUGAAAUUCGUAGAUAUUCGCAAGAACACCAGUGGCGAAGGCGGCUCACUGGCCCGGUACUGACGCUGAGGUGCGAAAGCGUGGGGAGCAACAGGG
rnacentral:rRNA from 1 species